UACGUAGGGUGCAAGCGUUAAUCGGAAUUACUGGGCGUAAAGCGUGCGCAGGCGGUUGGAUAAGUCUGAUGUGAAAUCCCCGAGCUCAACUUGGGAACUGCAUUGGAGACUGUCCGGCUAGAGUACGUCAGAGGGGGGUGGAAUUCCACGUGUAGCAGUGAAAUGCGUAGAGAUGUGGAGGAACACCGAUGGCGAAGGCAGCCCCCUGGGAUGAUACUGACGCUCAUGCACGAAAGCGUGGGGAGCAAAC
rnacentral:rRNA from 1 species